rnacentral:rRNA from 1 species
GGGUCAGUAGGCUGGUCGUGCCACCGGUACGUACUGGUCUCACUGAUUCCUCCUUCCUGAAGAACCAUAAUGCCAUUAGUUUGGUGUUGCGGGGAAACAGGACUGUUACUUUGAAAAAAUUAGAGUGUUUAAAGCAAGCUAACGCUUGAAUACAUUAGCAUGGAAUAAUGAAAUAGGACGAUCGAUCCUAUUUUGUCGGUUUCUAGGAUUGACGUA